rnacentral:misc_RNA from 1 species
GUUGUUGCUCUUGCUCUUGAGUGCUUUGCUCUUCUGAAUUGUUGCUAUUACUAACGUUGUCUGGAAAUGGAAAAUUGAGCUUUGCUCUUGGUCCUCGAAAAUCUAUCGCCGCCUUAUCAUAGGCUCUUGCCGCCUCCUCCGCUGUGUUAAAUGUCCCUAGCCAAACCCGCAUCGCCCUCCGCGGAUCCCUGAUUUCUGCUGCCCAUUUACCCCACGGCCUCUGUCUUACUCCUCUGUAAUUUUUCUUCACUCUUUUUCGUGUCCCCUUCUUUUCUUCUUGAUUUGGCGGGAAAAAAUUGCAUCCUAGACAUCCUUUGAUCUUGCAAACAUUGCACAUGUCAAGAUCCGACGGUGGCAGUAUUGGGUUACAAAAACCAGCUGUAA